GACGAACGCUGGCGGCGUGCUUAACACAUGCAAGUCGAACGAGUGGCGCACGGGUGAGUAAUACAUCGGAACGUGUCCUAUCGUGGGGGAUAACUGAUCGAAAGAUCAGCUAAUACCGCAUACGAUUGGAGCGGCCGAUGCCCGAUUAGCUAGUUGGUGAGGUAAAGGCUCACCAAGGCGACGAUCGGUAGCUGGUCUGAGAGGACGACCAGCCACACUGGGACUGAGACACGGCCCAGACUCCUACGGGAGGCAGCAGUGGGGAAUUUUGGACAAUGGGGGCAACCCUGAUCCAGCCAUGCCGCGUGCAGGAUGAAGGUCUUCGGAUUGUAAACUGCUUUUGUCAGGGAAGCGGUACCUGAAGAAUAAGCACCGGCUAACUACGUGCCAGCAGCCGCGGUAAUUC
rnacentral:rRNA from 1 species